AGCAGCCGCGGUAAAUUCCAGCUCCAAUAGCGUAUAUUAAAGUUGUUGCAGUUAAAAAGCUCGUAGUUGAAUUUCGGGAUCAAUAUGUUGGUCGUGCCCUUGGUACGUACUAAUUUAUUGGUUUCUUCCUUCUGACGAGCCAUAAUGUCAUUAAUUUGAUGUCAUGGGGAAUCAGGACUGUUACUUUGAAAAAAUUAGAGUGUUUAAAGCAGGCUCACGCUUGAAUACAUUAGCAUGGAAUAAUGAAAUAGGACGUUUUGAUUCUAUUUUGUUGGUUUCUAGGAUCGACGUAAUGAUUAAUAGGGAUAGUUGGGGGCAUUAGUAUUCAAUUGUCAGAGGUGAAAUUCUUGGAUUUAUUGAAGACUAACUACUGCGAAAGCAUUUGCCAAGGAUGUUUUCA
rnacentral:rRNA from 1 species